GAUGUUUGGAGGGAUAAAUAGGACUCAGCGGACUGUGAGAGGAGCUUGACUCACUGGUAGAGCUAGCUAUGCAACACUUGCUGGUCUCUCAUCUUUGCUGAACUUCAGUAUGUUAAGAGAGGCACCACGGAGAACUUUUCCUGGGGUUGCUGGUGAGCUGAAUUCCUUCUGCUGACUCCUGCUGUUUCAACUGAGGCCUGGCUGUUCCUGCUAGGUCAUGCCACCACUGCUGCUAUCCCAAUACUACUGAACUGGACUGCUGCGGGUGUAUCUGUGAAGUGUUUACAAGUAGAUCGAGCUGCCACUGCUGACCUGUGAACUGAACUGCUGAUUCUCUGACAACGGGGAUGGAAUUUGCUCCAAAGAACCAUUUCCAGUUUGUGACCUGAAAAGAAGCCUAAGGACGUUUCUACUUUUGCUCAUAAAUGAAGAAAGAGCAGUUGCGGGGCCAAGAAGGAGCCGAUGCCCGGCUUUGCUGUUCCUUUACCUCAGCUGUAAGACCAUCUACACCGCUGCCCAGACCAGGACUGUGAAUCUAACAUUUGGUAAUAAAAAUGUAACCCUACCCCCAUUCGACUGGGGCCCUGCCGAUUUAUCCAUGGAUAGCCCAGGCCUGUUGGCAGAGAAUCAAGUUCUGCAGCAUUUCUGUCAAUAAUCACAUUUUCGUGUUGCCUCGUAUAGGAGAAAAAACCGAAGGGUAGAAACAGCAAGGUAGACUGGAAGUUGUGAGUGAUAUGGACAAAUGGCCUAAGGCAUGUUUUCCUCAAAACCAGGACCGGAGCUAGAAGUGAGGGUGCCCUUUCUCAGGUCAAGGCCUUCCUAAAACUUUGAAACUGUGAGACAGUCACCAUCAAAAUGUGACUGGCUCCCCCUCCACUCAUGGGCUCAGAGACACCGUGGAGGGCGGGCAGAAGAAGGGAGAAUGAAGGCUAAAGGCUUAGGCAGAGCCACCCACUGCUUUGCUGCCAGGCUCGCUGUGCCCACAGGUGCCUGGAACCAGGGAUUCCUUCCUCAUGCUUCUGAUGAGGCAGAUUUAGAAGUCAGGAAUAUUCCCAGGGGUGGGGGUGGGGUGGGGUAGGGCUACGGGCAUAGAUCUGCAGGGAAAUGGCGGAGAGAACAUGGACAAAAAAAGUUCCAGUUCAUUUAUAGCGCUUCCGUGACGCAGGGGAAAGGGAAGAAAAGGGGUUUGACUGACUCCUUAAACUGUGGAAGCUUAAAAAAGGAUCACAGAGGUUAGAGUGAGACGUGUGUUUCCUUCCUCAUUUUUCAGACAAUGAGGGAACAACUAUACUUCAGUGUCCCUGUAUCUGGGGACAGGACUGAAAUAAAGAAAGGAACAUGCAUCCUAGCUCACGACUGAACCCGGGAAAGGUUUGUCCUCUGAGAACAAUGAGAGGCGCGGGGAGGAGCCAGAGUUUCAAAGAAAAAGACUACGGGGUGAUACACAGUGUUACGGUUUGAGGGUGAAGUGUUCCCCAAAGACUCACGUGGCAAAGGCUUGGUGAUCUGUCAGUGGGUUUGGAGGAAAUGAACGGACUACAGGGUUCAAGCUCCUGAGUGGAUCCAGAAAUUGGUGGAUUAUAUAAAUGAGGAGGUGGGGCCUGGUCGGGUUAUGGAAAUGAGGAGGUGGACCUGGUUAGAUUAUGGAAAUGAAGAGGUGGGGCCUGGUUGGAUUAUGGAAGUGAGGAGGUGGGGCCAGAUUGGGUUAUGGAAAUGAGGAGGUGGGGCCUGGCUGGAGGAUGUAUAGUUCCCCGAGGACAAACCUUUGAUGCCUGAGUCCUAUCAGAGCCUCUUCCUGCCUCAUUUCUGCCUCUGUCACUUGCGGUUGUUCAGCUUUUGGAAAAAAUUUGAGUCAAAAUAAAAACUGCUGCUUUAAGCU
rnacentral:lncRNA from 1 species